GGCAAACCACGCCCCCUUAGGCCACGCCCACACUAUAAAAGGCUCAGCGAAUCCCUGACGCGCGACGGGGCCAAGAUCCGCGCCCACAUCCGCCUGGUGCUGGAGGGCCUGCGGGAGCUGCAGGGGCUGCAGGAGCCCCCCGGGACCUCGGAGCCCUGAGCGCGACGCCGGGAGGGACCGGGGUGUAAAACCGGAGUAAAACGGAGUUAUUUACACCGUGGAGUGGCCUGGGUGUAAAACCGGAGUAAAAUUGAGUUAUUUACACCGUGGAGUAACUUGGGUGUAAAACGGGAGUAAAACGGAGUUUGUACACCUUGGAGUGACCUGGGUGUGUAAAAAGGGAGUAAAAUUGAGUUAUUUACACCGUGGAGUGACCUGGGUGUAAAACCGGAGUAAAACGGAGUUAUUUACACCGUGGAGUGGCCUGGGUGUAAAACGGGAGUAAAACGGAGUUUGUACACCGGGAGUGACCUGGGUGUAAAAUGGGAGUAAAACGGAGUUUGUACACCUGGGAGUGACCUGGGUGUGUAAAACGGGAGUAAAAUGGAAUUUUUGCACUAGGGAGUGACUUGUGUGUAGAACAGGAGUAAAACGGACUUUUUACACCUGGGAGUGACACAUGUGUAAAACCGGAAUAAAAUGGAGUUUUUUACACCGCG